rnacentral:pre_miRNA from 1 species
AUUCUACUCCCUCCGUUCCACAAUACAUGCCUUAUAUUUGUCAAAAUAUAGAUAUAUCUAGACAUGUUUUAGUAUAUAGGUACAUCCAUUUUUGGACAAAUGGAAGUCAAGUAUUUUGGAACGGAGGGAGUACACA